CCUCCGAAAUUCAAUUCAUGAACUCGGAGUAUUGGGGGCGAGCAGAGCACCGUAGCGCAUGUUAGCGUAGAGCCAUUCUGCGCGGACACCUUAUGCAGGGGUUUCUUUUUCAUUUCAACCCUCGAGAGAGAGAGAGAGAGCGAGAGAGAGAGUCUGGAUUGUGGAGUCGAUUUUCUCUCUCUAGCUGAAAUCGUGCUUCUUCUUCUGGUUCUAAAACAUUAUUCAAAGUGCAAAGAUAAGCUAUGAGUUCUAGUAAUCGAUCUAAUGCUGACAAGGGGCAUGGGGAUGAAGCUGCAGUUGCCCAAUUAAAUGAGUUUGUCUUGGGGGAUCUAAUAUGGGUUAGGCUCUGUGGCUCCUCGUGGUGGCCUGCACAGAUAUGAGUAGCACCAAUAGCGGAACAAAGAGUUUGACUUGCUUUUGUUAUUGGGGUGGAGAGCGGAAAAUCACUAACAGUGGUACUUUCAACUAUGCGGGGGGCGUUUCAGAACCUGUCCUUGCACAUGACAACAUUUCAUAUGAUGAACUCCUCCAUAUUGUAUGUUCUUGCCUUCAAAUAACUCUGAAUGACAAAGUCCUUUACUACAACACAAAAAGGGACAAGACCAAAUACCUCCGACUAAAGGACCAACAGGGAGUUACGAUGCUUUUCUAUUUGAAUGAAGAUGAGGUUGACAUUUUUGUUGAGGAGACAGUCCGCCGCAAUAUAGAUCUGAAUUUCAUUAGUAGUCGGGGCUCAAAUUUGGAGGUUGACACCUUGCCCCCAAGUAGGGGAGUCACACCUUCCCAUUCCCAAAGUCAUGUCAACAGUAGCAACAACAAUGAGAUGGGAAUCAUACCGUACUCUGAGGAAAGGGCCAACGAGCUUCUAACUGGGGAGGGGCAAUAUUUUGACAACCCCGAGCAUUUCAAGCAAGCCAUCACAGUGUACUCUGCUAUCAACAAGUUUUCAUACAAGUAUUUGGACAAUAGUAGGGCAUACUAUAGGAUAGUCUGUACAGUGGAUGGAUGUCGUUGGAAGCUCACUGCUAGAUGUGAGGGAAGAGAGUGAUAUUGUUAGAGUCAUUCGAUUUCGAAAGCAACACACCCACACAGCACAAGAUGUGCGUAACUAUCAGCCACGUUUCCGAACAGGCCACCUUGGGAGUCUAUUCAAAGACAAAGUCAUGGACAAGCCAACUUACUUGGCGAGGGAUAUAUGUAGGGAGUUUGAGGAAGCAUAUUCCAUCCGGUUGUCUUACAUGCAAGGUUGGAGGGCAAAGGAGCAUGCAAAAGCAUGCAUCCGAGGACCGCCAUCAAUGACAUACAACCUAAUACCAUGGAUGUGUGAGCGCCUCAUUCAAUCAAUUCCGAACACGAGGGCAUUUUGGACACGUACUGAGGAAAGCAAGUUCAAGCAACUGUUUGUUGCUUAUGGAUGUUCUAUCACGGGCUUCAUGGCAGGUUGUAGGCCAUUGCUAUUCAUUGAUGCGUGUGAUUUGACCGGGCCAUAUCAGGGUCAUCUCCUUUCAGCGACUGCUCAUGAUGCUGACGACAACCUUUACCCUUUGGCAUAUGCUGUGGUGUCUUCGGAAAACGACGAUGAUUGGCUAUGGUUUGCACAGAACCUUAAGGAAAUUUUAUGUCAACAUCAGGUUGUAUUCGUUACCAAUCGAAAGCCAUCCUUGUUGAAGGCAAUGACAGAUGUGUUCGGAAGUGAUUGCAAUGCAUGGUGCCUUCGUGACUUGAAGGAAAACUUUAGCAAAUUUGCAAGCUCUAAGAUGAUUAAGGGAAGCAAAAAGCAGACAACAUUGAGAGUUCUAGACCAAAUUGCAUAUGCACGGACUGAACAACUCUACAGACUGCAUUUGACAAAGCUAACUGCAAUUGACAAAGAUUUGGGCAAAUGGGUAGAGGAAAGUGCUCCUCGUCAAUGGGCUAAUGCGUUCUUCCCCUACAAAAGAUGGGACAAAAUGUACAUAAACCUUGCUGAAUGUUUUAAUUCUUGGAUCUUGCCUGAGAGAGACUUAGAUAUUUUUCAGUUAAUGAAAGGCCAUGUUGACAGAACGACAGAAAUGUUACUUCGGAAGCAGACAGAGGUCCAAUCUUGGAAAUUGCCCGUCGGUCCCAACAUUGAAAAAAUGAUUAAGUUAUGCCAGGAUCAAUCCAAUGGAUUCACGCAUAGAGCGACUUCUACUUUUGAAUUUGCUGUCACUGAUUGUGAUCACAAGACAUUUGCAGUAAAGUUAAACCCAUCAUAUUGUAGCUGCUUGGAGUGGCAAAUGACUGGAAUUCCAUGCCCACACGCUUGUCGUGCAAUUCAUGGUGCCGGCUUAAGUGUAUAUGAUGCGGUUGACCCGAUGCUAACAAGGCAAACCCAGUUGGUUAUUUAUGCUUCUAUUAUGUCCCCUGUGCCAUUGCAUGACAUCCCAUCAUCAGUUGCCCCAAUUGUUGCCGUUCAGGGAACUAAUGACUCAGCAAGUACUACUUCGACUUUGUCCAUGGCACUAUUCCCUCCAACCACCAAGCGGCCACCAGGUCGCCCAAAGAAGAAAAGAAUGGAGUCCCAAAGCCUAGAAAAAAAUACUGUUUAUUGCGGAAGAUGUUGGGAGCCUGGGCAUAACCGGGCCACGUGCAAAUCUCCAUGGCCAGUGCCAGAACCUGUCAAAGAAGAUGUACAACGGCCAAUCGCUUUGGAUUUGGCUAGAGAGCUUUUCUAAUCUAUCACCGAAAGCAGCAAGCUCCUUCAGUGAGUUUAUUAAGCAAGUUGCUGAAGUCCAGUGUAUGGUGGUGGGUAUCUAGAGUCUAGCAGAAGGAAGGGAGAGGAUAAGGCUUACUAUCCAGGUGUGAAGUGAGGGAGAAGGUGUGUGGAAAAGAGGAGCUCCAGUCGAGAGCAUCCGUAGAUUGUCAAUGGAGGAGAGAGCUAAUCAAGACUAAUGUGACAUGAUAAUUAGAGCUUCAAACUAACACACCUUUGAUGUACAAACACCACCAUGAUUUUGAAAGGAUAGUUCGUUUAUUUUCUUUGUUGUUUUUUAAUUUUAUUUUAAUAUCAUGAAGUGAUGUAGUAGUGCUUGUAUGUAAAUAACCUAGAAGUUAUAUUUCUUUUUGUAUGAAGAAGUGACAGAGAAGUUGUGUUUCUAUGGAAUGAAUCUAGGAAGUUGUACAACGUGGGCACGUAUAGGGUCAAAAAAAUCGGAAAAAUUUGCAAA